GAAUGCUGACAUAAGUAACGAUAAAGCGGGUGAAAAGCCCGCUCGCCGGAAGACCAAGGGUUCCUGUCCAACGUUAAUCGGGGCAGGGUGAGUCGACCCCUAAGGCGAGGCCGAAAGGCGUAGUCGAUGGGAAACAGGUUAAUAUUCCUGUACUUGGUGUUACUGCGAAGGGGGGACGGAGAAGGCUAUGUUGGCCGGGCGACGGUUGUCCCGGUUUAAGCGUGUAGGCUGGUUUUCCAGGCAAAUCCGGAAAACCAAGGCUGAGGCGUGAUGACGAGGCACUACGGUGCUGAAGCGACAAAUGCCCUGCUUCCAGGAAAAGCCUCUAAGCAUCAGGUAACAUCAAAUCGUACCCCAAACCGACACAGGUGGUCAGGUAGAGAAUACCAAGGCGCUUGAGAGAACUCGGGUGAAGGAACUAGGCAAAAUGGUGCCGUAACUUCGGGAGAAGGCACGCUGAUAUGUAGGUGAAGCGACUUGCUCGUGGAGCUGAAAUCAGUCGAAGAUACCAGCUGGCUGCAACUGUUUAUUAAAAACACAGCACUGUGCAAACACGAAAGUGGACGUAUACGGUGUGACGCCUGCCCGGUGCCGGAAGGUUAAUUGAUGGGGUUAGCGGCAACGCGAAGCUCUUGAUCGAAGCCCCGGUAAACGGCGGCCGUAACUAUAACGGUCCUAAGGUAGCGAAAUUCCUUGUCGGGUAAGUUCCGACCUGCACGAAUGGCGUAAUGAUGGCCAGGCUGUCUCCACCCGAGACUCAGUGAAAUUGAACUCGCUGUGAAGAUGCAGUGUACCCGCGGCAAGACGGAAAGACCCCGUGAACCUUUACUAUAGCUUGACACUGAACAUUGAGCCUUGAUGUGUAGGAUAGGUGGGAGGCUUUGAAGUGUGGACGCCAGUCUGCAUGGAGCCGACCUUGAAAUACCACCCUUUAAUGUUUGAUGUUCUAACGUUGGCCCGUAAUCCGGGUUGCGGACAGUGUCUGGUGGGUAGUUUGACUGGGGCGGUCUCCUCCUAAAGAGUAACGGAGGAGCACGAAGGUUGGCUAAUCCUGGUCGGACAUCAGG
rnacentral:rRNA from 1 species